GUCACACCCGUUCCCAUGCCGAACACGGAAGUUAAGCUUCUCAGCGCCGAUGGUAGUUGGGGGUUUCCCCCUGUGAGAGUAGGACGCUGCCAGGC
rnacentral:rRNA from 1 species